CCUACGGGAGGCAGCAGUGGGGAAUAUUGGACAAUGGGCGAAAGCCUGAUCCAGCAACGCCGCGUGAGGGAUGACGGCCUUCGGGUUGUAAACCUCUUUCAGCGGGGACGCGGUACCCGCAGAAGAAGCACCGGCCAACUACGUGCCAGCAGCCGCGGUAAUACGUAGGGUGCGAGCGUUGUCCGGAAUUAUUGGGCGUAAAGGGCUCGUAGGCGGUUUGUCACGUCGGGAGUGAAAACUCGGGGCUUAACUCCGAGCCUGCUUCCGAUACGGGCUGACUAGAGGUAUGCAGGGGAGAACGGAAUUCCUGGUGUAGCGGUGAAAUGCGCAGAUAUCAGGAGGAACACCGGUGGCGAAGGCGGUUCUCUGGGCAUUCCUGACGCUGAGGAGCGAAAGUGUGGGGAGCGAACAGGAUUAGAUACCCUUGUAGUC
rnacentral:rRNA from 1 species